GAUGAAGAACGCAGCGAAAUGUGAUAAGUAGUGUGAAUUGCAGAAUUCAGUGAAUCAUCGAAUCUUUGAACGCACAUUGCGCCCCAUGGUAUUCCGUGGGGCAUGCCUGUUCGAGCGUCAUUUACCCCCUCAAGCUCCGCUUGGUGUUGGGCGUCUGUCCCGCUUCGCGCGCGGACUCGCCCCAAAGGUAUUGGCAGCGGUCGUGCCAGCUUCUCGCGCAGCACAUUGCGCUUCUCGAGGCACCGGUGGGCCCGCGUCCAUCAAGCUCACCCCCCCAGUUUGACCUCGGAUCAGGUAGGGAUACCCGCUGAACUUAAGCAUAUCAAUAAGCGGAGGA
rnacentral:misc_RNA from 1 species